UAGUGUGAAAGGAAUUGGAACUCGUGCAGCAGACGUUAUUAAAAACUAUUCUGGAACAGAAUACAAAGUCGGUAGCAUAAUUCAAUUACUGUAUCCUUGUACAGGAAAUUCUGUAGAUUGGGCAUAUGCAGAGUUAGGUGUAAAGCAUUCAUUUGUUAUAGAAUUGAGAGACAAAGGAAGGGAAAAAUUUGAAUUAGAUCCGAGACAUAUAAUUCCAGUGGGUGAAGAAACUUGGAGUGGAAUGCGUUCAAUUAUUGCUGAUAUUUCGCAAUAAAAGUCUCCAUAAAUAACACAAGUUAACUAAUUAUAAUGUAAUGAAUUUUAUUUUUUUUUCUGUUGUCUCAAUAUUUUAAUUUAUUGAUACAAUUAAUUACUUAAGCUGCCCAUUCAUCUCGUUGCUUUACGUUAGUUAUAUUCUAUAUUCUGAAAUGGAAUAAAAAUAAAGGCUUUAAUUUUACGAUUCUUUCUACUGCCGCGUAUUAUUUUAAACGUAUCUUUUGAUUUAAGCCUCUUAAGGAAAAGCUAAACUCAACGUUGAAAACUUUAUAACGUAACUUCCGUUAUAAAUUUGCAGAUCAGUAAAGAACACUUUGAACUUUUUCCAUUUCAUUCUAAUAGAUCAAAGUUGACUCAAAUUAUUUUAAAAUUCGAUUUAUCUCUUAAGCAGUUAGUGUUUAUAUUCGAGACCGGAUGUCGCCACUUGUUUAUUAAUACAUUGUUUAACGAGCUAGAAUAUACUACAUAGUGUCUUCAGCGACGCCACGUUUAAAGAAAAUUGAAUACACGUUCGCCAUUUUCUUUUUAGUCAAGGGGCGUGCCAUUUGUGUUGCGUAAAGGCAACUAGCAAGGUUAUUCUAGCUCGUUGUGUAAAAGUGUGCAAAUCAAAGGAAGAGUUUUAAUCCUUAACUGAGAUGGUGCGAAUCAAAAUGAUCCUACUUAGUUUUUUUUUAAUUUUGAAAGUAACUUACAAGACAUUUCUUUCUUUAAUUAAUUAAUGAUCCUCUUGUAAAAGGACAAAUUAAUGCUUAUAUUAAAACAUCCGAAAUGCAACGAUAACGUUUGCACAUUUACAAAUUUUCUUUGGAGUUUAAAUUAAGGCAUUUAAAUUCUUAGUGUAAGUGUAUAAAAACAUUUUAAUGUACUGUACAAUACAGAACGUAUAGUAUUUUUCUACUGAGAAUUAUGUAAUACUUUGGCAAUAAAAUUUAUCGGUAUUAAUUGUUU